rnacentral:piRNA from 1 species
UCUUGCUUAAAGUUGAUCGUGACAGA